GCUGUUGACAGAGAAAACAAGGUGGUGAAC
rnacentral:piRNA from 1 species